UUACUUAACUGGUGUUAGGCUUCCGGUGAUCAUCUAGGUGGGCGCCCCGUGCCGAGGCCUUACCAUUGUACUGCGGUCGCCUGAAGCGCGCCACUCCCCCUAACCACGGUAGAUGGGGCACGCGAUCUUUAGUAGAGGGGCUCGGCGCUACACGCCAGCCCCUU